rnacentral:tRNA from 1 species
AGGGUUGACAGAGUGGUUUAUUGUGCCUCCCUGAAAAAGAGGUGAGGUGUUAAGCCUCCGUGGGUUCGAAUCCCAUGCCCUCCU